CACGGUCGAGCGAGAUACUGAUGGGAGCUUGCUCCCAGGCGUCGAGCGGCGGAGGGGUGAGUAACACGUGGGAAUCUGCCCAUUAGUGGGGGAUAACUCGGGGAAACUCGAGCUAAUACCGCAUAAUCCCUACGGGGGAAAGCAGGGGAUCUUCGGACCUUGCGCUGAUGGAUGAGCCCGCGUCGGAUUAGCUUGUUGGUGGGGUAAUGGCCCACCAAGGCGACGAUCCGUAACUGGUCUGAGAGGAUGGCCAGUCACACCGGGACUGAGACACGGCCCGGACUCCUACGGGAGGCAGCAGUGGGGAAUCUUGGACAAUGGGCGCAAGCCUGAUCCAGCCAUGCCGCGUGUGUGAAGAAGGCCUUCGGGUUGUAAAGCACUUUCAGUAGGGAGGAAGGCUUUGGGCUAAUACCCUGGAGUACUUGACGUUACCUACAGAAGAAGCACCGGCUAAUUUCGUGCCAGCAGCCGCGGUAAUACGAAAGGUGCGAGCGUUAAUCGGAAUUACUGGGCGUAAAGCGCGCGUAGGCGGUGUGUUAAGUCGGAUGUGAAAGCCCAGGGCUCAACCUUGGAAUUGCAUCCGAUACUGGCACGCUAGAGUGCAUAGAGGGAGGUGGAAUUUCCGGUGUAGCGGUGAAUGCGUAGAGAUCGGAAGGAACACCAGUGGCGAAGCGGCCUCCUGGACUGACACUGACGCUGAGUGCGAAGCGUGGGGAGCAACAGGAUUAGAUACCUGGUAGUCCACGCCGUAACGAUGUCUACUAGCCGUUGGGUCCUUAGUGACUUGGUGGCGCACUAACGCGAUAGUACACCGCCGGGGAGUACGGCGCAAGUUAAACUCAAUGAAUGACGGGGCCCCACAGCGGGGAGCUGUGGUUAAUUCGAUGCACGCGAGAACUUACAAGCUUGACUCCUGCGACUUUCACAGAUAGAUUGUGCCUCGGAACCA
rnacentral:rRNA from 1 species